rnacentral:rRNA from 1 species
UGGGGAAUAUUGGGCAAUGGAGGAAACUCUGACCCAGCGACGCCGCGUGAGGGAUGAAGGCCUUCGGGUUGUAAACCUCUUUCAGUAGGGAAGAAGCGAAAGUGACGGUACCUACAGAAGAAGCACCGGCUAACUAUGUGCCAGCAGCCGCGGUAAUACAUAGGGUGCAAGCGUUGUCCGGAAUUAUUGGGCGUAAAGAGCUCGUAGGUGGUUCGAUACGUCGGAUGUGAAAAUCAGGGGCUCAACCCCUGACCUGCAUUCGAUACGGUCGAGCUAGAGUGUGGUAGGGGAGACUGGAAUUCCUGGUGUAGCGGUGGAAUGCGCAGAUAUCAGGAGGAACACCGAUGGCGAAGGCAGGUCUCUGGGCCAUUACUGACACUGAGGAGCGAAAGCGUGGGGAGCGAACA